rnacentral:rRNA from 1 species
GCAAAACCAUACAGCUAAACAAAUUUGCAAAAACCCCCCCCCACCCCAAACCAAAUCAUUUGCCUAGGCUAGUAAAUGAGAUUAAACCCCACCCUUUAGCCUGCCAAGUACCGCAAGGGAAAAUUGAAAGAAUAAUGAAAGCUAUAAGCAUUACACAGCAAAGAUAAAUACUUGUACCUUUUGCAUCACGGUCUAGCAAAACACCAACAGACAAAGCGUUCUUCAGCCUGACCACCCGAAACCAAACGAGCUAUUUCUGGGCAGCACUAAAACAGAGCACACCCAUCCCUGUAGCAAAAGGGCGGGAAGACCUAGAAAUAGAGGCAAAAAACCAACCGAGUUUGGUGAUAGCUGGUUACUCAAUUAAAGAAUUUUAGUUCACCCCCAAACAUUAAAAGCAUUCUAUUUAAACUUUAAACCUUAAGUUUGAGGUAAGUCAAUGGGGGUACAGCUCCAUUGACCCGGAAUACAGCCCGAACUGAGAGACACCCCAAUACCCCCCCCCAUGAGUAGGCCUCAAAGCAGCCACCAACACAAUUGCGUUUCAGCUCCUUAAUUAACCAAAUCCAAAAACCCCAACCAAUCUCCCGACACAGCCUGAGUUAUUUUAUACAAAUAUAAAAGUACUAAUGCUGGAACUAGUAAUAAGAAAAUUUCUCUUAGCACAGCCCUAAAUCAGACUAGAAGACCUACUGACAAUUAACAAAACCAAAGACACCCAUACACAAGAACCCAUGUCACCAAACCUUGUUAACCCGACACAGGCGUGCAAAAAAGAAAGGUUAAACAAUGUAAAAGGAACUCGGCAACCUUAAGUCCCAACUGUUUACCAAAAACAUAGCCUUUAGCCUUACAAGUAUUAAAGGUCCCACCUGCCCAGUGAAUCUCUUAAACGGCCGCGGUAUCCUAACCGUGCAAAGGUAGCAUAAUCACUUGUCCUCCAAAUAAGGACUAGUAUGAAUGGUCAAAUGAGGACUAAACUGUCUCUUACAUUUAACCAAUAAAACUGAUCUUUCAGUUAAAAAGCUGAAAUAAAAACAUAAGACGAGAAGACCCUGUGGAGCUUAAAACCAAACCCAACCCUCAUGACCAUUUGGUUUUUAGUUGGGGCGACUUCGGAGCACAAAAAACCCUCCGAUAAAAGUUAUAUUAAGAUCAACACAUCAAAAUACCUAUUUAGACCCAGUAUAUUCUUUCCUAAAUAUCUGAUCAACGAACCAAGUUACCCCAGGGAUAACAGCGCCAUCCCCUUCUAGAGUCCUUAUCGACAAGGGGGUUUACGACCUCGAUGUUGGAUCAGGACACCCAAAUAGUGUAGCCGCUAUUAAAGGUUCGUUUGUUCAACGAUUAAAGUCCUACGUGAUCUGAGUUCAGACCGGAGAAAUCCAGGUCGGUUUCUAUCUAUGCAUCGUUAUUCCCAGUACGAAAGGACCGGAACAACAGGAUCAAUGCCAACCGCACAUCCUACAGAAAUUACUGACCCUUACUAAAGUAACAACUAGCAUUACCCAACCCUAAACUAGGGCUU